rnacentral:rRNA from 1 species
GUGGGGAAUAUUGGGCAAUGGGGGAAACCCUGACCCAGCGACGCCGCGUGAGGGAAGAAGGCCUUAGGGUCGUAAACCUCUGUUGUGUGGGAAGAAGAGCGUGACGGUACCACACGAGGAAGUCCCGGCUAACUACGUGCCAGCAGCCGCGGUAAUACGUAGGGGACGAGCGUUGUCCGGAUUUACUGGGCGUAAAGGGCGCGUAGGCGGUCAUUUAAGUCAGCUGUGAAAUGGUUUGGCUUAACCGGAUCAUGCGGUUGAAACUGGAUGACUGGAGUGCUGGAGAGGCAAGUGGAAUUCCCAGUGUAGCGGUGAAAUGCGUAGAUAUUGGGAAGAACACCGGUGGCGAAGGCGACUUGCUGGCCAGUAACUGACGCUGAGGCGCGAAAGCCAGGGGAGCAAACGGGAUUAGAUACCCGGGUAGUCC